rnacentral:misc_RNA from 1 species
UCGCGGCUUAUCACCGGCAGUCCCCUUAGAGUGCCCAACUGAAUGAUGGCAACUAAGGGCGAGGGUUGCGCUCGUUGCGGGACUUAACCCAACAUCUCACGACACGAGCUGACGACAGCCAUGCAGCACCUGUGUCCACGUCUCUUGCGAGAAGGAAUCCAUCUCUGGAAGCCGUCGUGGCAUGUCAAAGGCUGGUAAGGUUCUGCGCGUUGCUUCGAAUUGAACCACAUGCUCCACCGCUUGUGCGGGCCCCCGUCAAUUCCUUUGAGUUUCAGCCUUGCGGCCGUACUCCCCAGGCGGGGCACUUAAUGCGUUAGCUACGGCACGGAUCCCGUGGAAGGGAAACCCACACCUAGCGCCCAACGUUUACGGCGUGGACUAC